rnacentral:pre_miRNA from 1 species
AGUAGAGUUGCUGGGUCAUAUGGUAACUCUGUUUAACUUCUUGAGGAACUAUCAGACUAUUUUCAAAGCCACUACACCACUUUAUGUUCCCAUUAGUAUU